GCCGGGCAUGAUGGCGCAUGCCUGUAAUCCCAGCUACUAGGGAGGCUGAGGCAGGAGAAUUGCUUGAACCCAGGAGGCGGAGGUUGCAGUGAGCCAAGGUUGCACCACUGCACUCCAGCCUGGGCCACACAGCGAGAUUCUGUCUCAA
ensembl:misc_RNA Metazoa_SRP Metazoan signal recognition particle RNA